GUCUUGUCAACACCUGUCCUUCCAAACCCUCACUCCCACAGUGCUUUUUUCAAGUAUAUUUAAAGCUCCCUUUCACAUACAUGCAGAGAAGAUCAGCAAAAAGGCACUGGGAAAUGAGAAGAACAAAAGCACAUUGCUUGUGCUCAUUCAAAGAAGUAAGACAAACAUGAGAUUUCUCAUUGAGUAGAAAAUAAACUGUCUUCUGAGGAAAAGAAGAAGCUGCCUGUGCAGAGAAGGGACUGUGUGGAGUACCACUUUGCACUGCAACACUGAUGGAGCAAGCUAUGACAAUGGAGAAUACGCCUUCAGAGGGCAGUCAUCUUUUCAGAGGGUUUUUUCCCUCUUUAUUUUAAUUUUAAUUUAAAGGAAUUUAAUUUAAAUAGAAAAAUUCUCCUUUUGAA